CAUUUCUCUCUCUGUCAGUCAGCUACGUCCAAUAUCGUCAUGGAAACUCUCCUGUGCUGGGACCUUGUGUCUGUGGUCAUCAUGCUGUUCCUUGUCUCUACAGAGUCAGCAGGUGAUUCAACAAAAUAUCUGACAAAUAAAUCAGCUUCUUUGGGAGAAAAUGUUACUUUGGUUUGCAAUAACUCAGAGACGAAUGCAUCAUACAUCUGGAAGAAGGACACAGUUCUCAUUUUCUCUCAUAGUGACACACUGAAUAAAACUGAAAGAAAAUUCACCUCUGACAGGAUGAGUGUUGAUCCACCUACAAAGCUGACUAUCUUUAAUGUACAGCUAAAUGACACCGGGAGCUACAGCUGUCAAAUAACAGAUGAUCAAAGUGGUGUACGGACAAUGGAGUGGAAUAUGACCAUCACUAAUAACCUCACAGCUCAUGCUGGACAUGGCCUACGGAGGUUAUUGCUCUUCACAAUUCCAUCUGCUAUUGGAGGAGUGGUUCUCUGCAUUAACAUCUGCUGUAUGGUCUGGCU